rnacentral:tRNA from 1 species
UAAAAGAUAAGCUAAAUAUAAGCUAGUGGGUUCAUACCUCAUUUAUGGGUCAGUUCCUCUUUUUA